AACGUAGGGACCGAGCGUUGUCCGGAAUCAUUGGGCGUAAAGAGCGUGUAGGCGGCCACUUAAGUCCUGCGUGAAAUCUUGCGGCUCAACCGCAAGCGGUCGUGGGAAACUGGGUGGCUAGAGUGCGGGAGAGGAGAGUGGAAUUCCUGGUGUAGCGGUGGAAUGCGCAGAUAUCAGGAAGAACACCCGUGGCGAAGGCGGCUCUCUGGAACGCAACUGACGCUGAGACGCGAAAGCGUGGGGAGCAAACAGG
rnacentral:rRNA from 1 species